AGUGAACGCUGGCGGUAGGCCUAACACAUGCAAGUCGAACGGCAGCACAGUAAGAGCUUGCUCUUACGGGUGGCGGGUGGCGGACGGGUGAGGAAUACAUCGGAAUCUACUUUUUCGUGGGGGAUAACGUAGGGAAACUUACGCUAAUACCGCAUACGACCUACGGGUGAAAGCAGGGGAUCUUCGGACCUUGCGCGAUUGAAUGAGCCGAUGUCGGAUUAGCUAGUUGGCGGGGUAAAGGCCCACCAAGGCGACGAUCCGUAGCUGGUCUGAGAGGAUGAUCAGCCACACUGGAACUGAGACACGGUCCAGACUCCUACGGGAGGCAGCAGUGGGGAAUAUUGGACAAUGGGCGCAAGCCUGAUCCAGCCAUACCGCGUGGGUGAAGAGGGCCUUCGGGUUGUAAAGCCCUUUUGUUGGGAAAGAAAAGCAGCAGGUUAAUACCCCGCUGUUCUGACGGUACCCAAAGAAUAAGCACCGGCUAACUUCGUG
rnacentral:rRNA from 1 species